rnacentral:rRNA from 1 species
GACGAACGCUGGCGGCGUGCCUAAUACAUGCAGGUAGAACGCUGAAGGAGGAGCUUGCUCUUCUGGAUGAGUUGCGAACGGGUGAGUAACGCGUAGGUAACCUGCCUGGUAGCGGGGGAUAACUAUUGGAAACGAUAGCUAAUACCGCAUAAUAUUGACUAUUGCAUGAUAGUUAAUUGAAAGGUGCAAAUGCACCACUACCAGAUGGACCUGCGUUGUAUUAGCUAGUUGGUGGGGUAACGGCUCACCAAGGCGACGAUACAUAGCCGACCUGAGAGGGUGAUCGGCCACACUGGGACUGAGACACGGCCCAGACUCCUACGGGAGGCAGCAGUAGGGAAUCUUCGGCAAUGGACGGAAGUCUGACCGAGCAACGCCGCGUGAGUGAAGAAGGUUUUCGGAUCGUAAAGCUCUGUUGUAAGAGAAGAACGAGUGUGAGAGUGGAAAAGUUCACACUGUGACGGU